UCGGGAGGAUUCGGUGCUGAAGCGAAGGCGAAGAGUGAGCUACCUGGGAAGUAUAGGUCGCAAGGUCGAAACUUAAAGGAAUUGGCGGGGGGGCAUACAACGAGUGACGCGUGCGGUUCAAUUAGAUUCCACACCGUGAAACCUCACCAGGAGCGACAGCAGGAUGAAGGUCAGUCUAAAGGGCUUACCUGACACGCUGAACGGAGAUGCAUGGCCGACGUCAGCCUGUGUUGUGAGAUGACCUGUUAAAUCAGGUAACAGGCGAGACCCGUAUGUAUAAUUACUACAGAAAUGGGUACAUUAUACAGACUGCCUUGGUAACAAGGAGGAAGGUGCGGGCUACGUUAGGUGAGUACAUCCCUAAUCCCCUGGGCUACACGCGCGCGGCAAUGGUAGACUCAACGAGAUGCAACACCGAAAGGUGAAGCUAAUCCCCUAAUAUCUAUCUCAGUCCAGAUUGAGGGUUGCAACCCACCCUCGUGACGAUGGAAUUCGUAGUAAUCGUUUAUUGGCACUGAACGGUGAAUAAGUCCCUGCCCCUUGCACACGCCGCCCGUCAAACCAACCGAGUUAUGGAGAGUUGAGGCUCUUCUGAGAAGAAAUUUUUUAUGACAAGGUAAGUUAAGUCGUAACAAGGUAGCC
rnacentral:rRNA from 1 species